rnacentral:lncRNA from 1 species
GGAGAAAGUCUUGAAGAUCUGGAUAGAAGAUCAAACCAGCCACAGUAUUAUUUUAAGCUAAAGCCUAACCCAGAGCAAGGCCCUAACUCUAUUCAAUUGUAUGAUGGCUGAGAAAGACAAGGAAGCUGCAGAAGAAAAGUCUGAAGCUAGCAGUUUUGUUCAUGAGGUUUAAGGAAAGAAGCCAUCUCCAUGACACAAAAAUACAAGGUGAAGCAGCAAGUGCUGAUGAAGAAGCUGCGGCAAGUUAUCCAGAAGACCUAGCUAAGAUCACUGAUGGAGAAAUUGCUACAGCCACUUUAACCUUCAACAAUCAUCACCCUGAUCAGUCACCGGCCAUCAACAACAAGUCAAGACCUUUCUCCAGCAAAAAGAUUGUGACUUGCUGAAAGCUGAGAUGAUCAUUUGCAAUUUUUAGUUUGGAAUCACUGAUGUGAGAGAAAGAAUCUGCAUCACCUUGAAAUGGGAACUGUGGAAGUUUGAAUUUAAAGUACAUGGCAGAAGACAUGUCUAAGCAGUAAAGAAUUCAAGAAGUGACCUGGCUGCUUCUAACAACAUAACUCAAGGUGGAAGCAAUGCAAUGACUUAAAGAUUGAAGUUCUAUUUAAAGGAGAAGCAGAGCAGAAAAGUUUGGAAAUUUUCAGCCUAGUCAUGUGAUAUGGUUUGGCUCUGUGUCCCCACCUAAAUCUCAUGUCGAGUUGUAAUCCCCAUGUGUCAGGGGAGCCACAUGGUGGGAGGUGAUUGGAUCAUUGAUGUGGAUUUCCCCCUUGCUGUUCUCAUGAUAGUGAGUUCUCAUGAGAUCUGUCUCUCUCUCUUCUGCCUCUAUGUGAAGAAGGUGCUUGCUUCCCCUUCACCUUCCACCAUGAUUGUAAGUUUCCUGAGGCCUCCCAAUCAUGCUUCCUGUUAAGCCUGUGGAACUGUUAGUCAAUUAAACCUUCUUUCUUCAUAAAUUAUCCAGUCUCAUCUAGUUCCUUAUAGCAGAGUGAAAGCAAACUAAUACACCAUGUGGCAAAGAAAGAAAAAACUUCUUUGGGAGAGGAAUCCAAGCAGGCUGCAGAGCAACCACUUGCCAGAGAGAUUCAUAUGUUUCAUAGAGAGACAGACGCUGAUAGACAGGACAAUGAGAAAAGGCAUUUUACAGAUCUACAAACCAAUCUCUCCUAAAACAGACCCAGAGGUAUAGGAGAAAAGAAUGGUUUAGAGGGCAGGCCUUGCUUCCCAGCACCACUGCAGGAGGAUGCUACUUGUAUCCAGGUCUCUCCAACCUCAGCUCAAAGAGGCUUAAAUACGUUUUGAGCUGCUGCUUAAAAGGGUAGAAGCUGUAAGCAUUGGUGGCUUCAAUGUGAUGUUAAUCUUGCAGGUGUUUAGAUGUAAGAAUGAAGGAGGCUUGGCAGCUUAUCCCUAGAUUUCAGAGGAUCUAUGAGAAAGCCUGAGUGCCCAGGAAGAAAUCUCCUGCAGGGGUAGAGGCCUUUCAAAGAACCUCUAUUAGGGCAUCAUGGAGGGGGAAUGCAGGGCUGGAACGCCCACAUAGAAUUGUCACCAUGGUACUGCCUAGUGGACCUAUGGGAAUGCUGCUAUUUCCAGACCCAAGAAUGGUAGAGCCAAUGGAAGCCUGCAAUUUGAAUAUGGAAAUGGCACAGACACCCAACUCCAACUCAUGAAAGGAGCCACAGGGUAUACACCCUGCACAGCCACAGGGUUGGAGCUGUCCAAGACCUUGGGAACCCACCCCUUGCACCAGUGGUUGCAAUGUGGGACUUGGAGCCAAAGGAGAUUUCUUGGAGCUUUAAGAUUUAAUGACUACUCUGCUGGGUUUCAGACUUGCAUCGGGUCUGCAGCCCCUUUAUUUUGGCCAAUUUCUCCCUUUUGGAAUGAGAAUGUUUACCAAAUGCCUAUAACCCCAUUGUAUCUUGGAAGUAAUAACUUGAUUUUUAUUACACAGGCUUGGAAGGAACUCAUCUACAGAGGAGGCUUUAGACUUGGGAAUUGGAACUUGAGACUUUAAAUUUAGUUGAUGCUGUAAUGCUUUAAGACUUUGGGGGAUUAUUUGAAAGGAGUGGAAUGAUAUUGUUUGAAUAUUUGUCCCCUCCACAUUUCAUGUAAAAGUGUAAUCCUCAAUUUAGGAAGUGGGGCCUGGUGAGAAGUGUUUGGAUUAUUGGGGGUAAAACACUCAUGAAUAGCUUGGUGCUGUUCUUAUGAUAGUGAGUAAAUUCUCAUGAGACCUGGUUGUUGAAAACUGUGUAGUACAUCCCCCAACCUUGCUCCUGCUCUUGCCAUGUGACAUUCUGGCUCCCUGUCACCUUUCAUAAAGAGUGUAAUCUUUGUGAGGUGUCACCAGAAGCACAUGCUGGUACCAUGCUUCCUGUAAAGACUGCAGAACCAUGAGUCAAGUAAACUUAUUUUCUUUGUAUAUUAGCCAGUCUCAGGUAUUCCUUUAUAGUAUCACAAACAGAGCAAUACAAGGACUUCCUUUUUAAUCACAUUGAUAAAUUUAUUCUAGAAACACUUAUUUAGUUAUGAUUAUUUGGGAUUCAACCGUAUACAUAAUUGUAUGUUCUGCCCUCUUAGAUAUUCCAUUCUAGUAAACAAAACAGACACAUAAACAAGGAAAUGAUGGUAUGUGGAAUAAAGUGUUAUAAAGGAAACAAAGAUAGCUGUCAGAUAGACAUAACAUGGAUGUAAUUUUUGAGAUGAAAACUUUAGUUAAUGUUAAUAGGAAAGCCACUCUGUGGAGGUGGCAUUUAAGUUGAAACCUAAAAAGAAAAAAGGCGUGACUAGGAAUUAAUGGUUAAAUUUCACUGUCCCUUUCUUUAAAUCGGACUGUAAGAGAAAUUG